rnacentral:rRNA from 1 species
UACGUAGGGGGCUAGCGUUGUCCGGAAUCAUUGGGCGUAAAGAGCGCGUAGGCGGCCCGGUAAGUCCGCUGUAAAAGUCAAAGGCUCAACCUUUGAAUGUCAGUGGAUACUGCCGGGCUAGAGUCCGGAAGAGGCGAGUGGAACUCCUGGUGUAGCGGUGGAAUGCGCAGAUAUCAGGAGGAACACCGGUGGCGAAGGCGGGUCUCUGGGCGAGUAACUGACGCUGAGGAGCGAAAGCGUGGGGAGCGAACAGG